rnacentral:rRNA from 1 species
GACGGGGGGUCCAAGCGUUGUUCGGAAUCAUUGGGCGUAAAGCGUGUGCAGGCGGUUUUGUAAGUUGGAUGUGAAAGCCCCGGGCUUAACCCGGGAAGUGCAUUCAAAACUGCAAAACUUGAGUAUGGAAGAGGGUCGUGGAAUUCCUGGUGUAGUGGUGAAAUACGUAGAUAUCAGGAGGAACACCAGUGGCGAAGGCGGCUCACUGGCCCGGUACUGACGCUGAGGUGCGAAAGCGUGGGGAGCAAACAGG